rnacentral:rRNA from 1 species
GGGGAAUAUUGGACACUGGGCGCAAGCGUGAUCCAGCCAUGCCGCGUGGGUGAAGAAGGCCUUCGGGUUGUAAAGCCCUUUUGUUGGGAAAGAAAAGCUGCCGGCCAAUACCCGGUUGCUCUGACGGUACCCAAAGAAUAAGCACCGGCUAACUUCGUGCCAGCAGCCGCGGUAAUACGAAGGGUGCAAGCGUUAAUCGGAAUUACUGGGCGUAAAGCGCGCGUAGGUGGUUCGUUAAGUUGGAUGUGAAAGCCCCGGGCUCAACCUGGGAACUGCAUCAAAAACUGGCGAGCUAGAGUAUGGCAGAGGGUGGUGGAAUUUCCUGUGUAGCGGUGAAAUGCGUAGAUAUAGGAAGGAACACCAGUGGCGAAGGCGACCACCUGGGCUAAUACUGACACUGAGGUGCGAAAGCGUGGGGAGCAAACA